rnacentral:rRNA from 1 species
UACGUAGGGUGCAAGCGUUGUCCGGAAUUAUUGGGCGUAAAGAGCUCGUAGGCGGUCUGUCGCGUCGGAUGUGAAAAUCCAGGGCUCAACCCUGGACCUGCAUUCGAUACGGGCAGACUAGAGUUCGGUAGGGGAGACUGGAAUUCCUGGUGUAGCGGUGAAAUGCGCAGAUAUCAGGAGGAACACCGGUGGCGAAGGCGGGUCUCUGGGCCGAAACUGACGCUGAGAAGCGAAAGCAUGGGGAGCGAACAGG